rnacentral:rRNA from 1 species
AGCGAACGCUGGCGGCAGGCCUAAAACAUGCAAGUCGAACGCCGUAGCAAUACGGAGUGGCAGACGGGUGAGUAACACGUGGGAACGUGCCUUUUGGUUCGGAACAACACAGGGAAACUUGUGCUAAUACCGGAUAAGCCCUUACGGGGAAAGAUUUAACGCCAAAAGAUCGGCCCGCGUCUGAUUAGCUAGUUGGUGGGGUAACGGCCCACCAAGGCUACGAUCAGUAGCUGGUCUGAGAGGAUGAUCAGCCACACUGGGACUGAGACACGGCCCAGACUCCUACGGGAGGCAGCAGUUAGGAAUCUUGGACAAUGGGCGCAAGCCUGAUCCAGCCAUGCCGCGUGAGUGAUGAAGGCCUUAGGGUUGUAAAGCUCUUUCAGCGGGGAAGAUAAUGACGGUACCCGCAGAAGAAGCCCCGGCUAACUUCGUGCCAGCCGCCGCAGUAAUAC